rnacentral:sRNA from 2 species
GCCUAGCCCCGAUUGAAGCAUUUGUUUGAGCUCUUUUUUGUUUUUUUCAAACAAAAAAAGCGAGUGCGCAAAGCGGGAAAUUGC